UACGUAGGGUGCAAGCGUUGUCCGGAAUUAUUGGGCGUAAAGAGCUUGUAGGCGGUUGGUCGCGUCUGCUGUGAAAUUUCGGGGCUCAACCCCGAACUUGCAGUGGGUACGGGCAGACUAGAGUGUGGUAGGGGAGACUGGAAUUCCUGGUGUAGCGGUGAAAUGCGCAGAUAUCAGGAGGAACACCGAUGGCGAAGGCAGGUCUCUGGGCCAUAACUGACGCUGAGAAGCGAAAGCAUGGGGAGCGAACAGG
rnacentral:rRNA from 1 species